UUUUGGGUUAUCCCAUUUCUCUCUCUUGCUUUUGAUUGUCUCAUCCUCACUCCUCAGCAUCCUCGCAUCAUCACCACCAGUUGAUGUUUGAACUGGCCGCAUGUGGCGAAUCCUUUUCCUACUCCCACCGCCGGCCUCCCACCCAAGCAUAUCCUAGCAGUUUCCCUUCUUCGAUCAACAUCUAUUCAAACCCUAAUUCCUAGAACAAUUCGACACCCACAAAUUUCUCAAUACCACCUCCAGAUUUUGAGCUUUCUCUGCGUUUUCCUCCAUUGAAGCUUACUCCGAGCUUCUAAUGAAGGCUUGAAGGGUACUCUGCGUUUUAUCUCUCCUCCAUUAAAGCAGCUCCUUGAGCAGCAAAUAUUGUCAUUGUUCAUAGAAGGGAUGAAAAAGUUCCACAAAUACUUGUAUGGUAUUGCUACCAAAGACGUCGAAUCAACUCUUCCACGUCUAAAAGAAAUUGUGAUGGAACCUCAGAUAAUAACUUUGGAGGAGGACCUAGAUAACGCGUCAAAGAAAGUAAAGAAUUGAGGGGCAGACCAGUAGUGACGUAGACGGGAUUUGAUAUCAAUGAGUCCGGGUUGUUAACUCCAGGGAAUGGCUGUUGAUUUCACGAUACUAGGCAUCAGUAAGGACUCAAGUCUCCUAAGGUCGAAAUGAUUGACAAUCUGUUCAAAACCUGUGUUUGACACUGAAGAUGAAGUUAUCAUGAGGGAGGCUCUACUUGAUUCAAUGUCUGUUAAAAGAAAGCCUGAACAUAUCAUCAUAUUUAGGAUAUGAAAGCGUGGGAAUGCAGUACUUAGAAGCUAUUAGGAAGCUGAAGGAUUCUGGUUUUGAGCCAAUUCGUACUAUUUAUUUAUCAUAUUUGCCAGAUGGAGAGAUUGGGGGACGUGAUGAGGCUGAGAAGCUGGCCGAUUCUGAUGUGUUUGAGAAAAUGAAUGUGGGCUUUGUGCUGGAUGAGGGAAUACCUUCACCAGAUGAGAAGUAUUUGGCGUAUAAUGGGGAGAGGUCGCCAAUGUGGCUGGUUAUCAAGGCUACUGGGGCACCUGGGCAUGGGGCAAAGCUGUAUAACGAUUUUGCAAUGGAGAACUUGAUGAAAAGUGUUGAGAGUAUCAGGGGCUUUUGUGCGUCGCAGAUUGAUAUGCUAAAAGCUGGCUUGAAAACUGACGUAGAGGUGAUUUCGGCGAACUUGGUAUAUUUGAGAGCUGGCACACAAACACCUAAUGUAAGUCCGUGUCUUUAUUGUGGCAGAGGGUCUAAUGGGUCUGGUCAGAUUGUAUUGAGUAGAAGAAAUUUUGUAGAUUUCAAUUUGAAAUAUUGAGGAAAAAUUGUAAAUAACAUGUGUCAUCAGUAAUGUAAAUUAGUUUUUCAAUAAAUUCUUAUUUUUUAAAAAAACUAAAAAAAAUCAUUACAUAAGUUAUUA